rnacentral:lncRNA from 1 species
AAAAGACUAUAUAAGCAAGGCCCCCUGGCCCCUGGAGAUCAUACCUCUUCUACAGAAUCAAAGUUAGGGUUUCAAUAAUUCAUCCGAGUAGAGAGGAUCCCUCUAGUUCAUGUAGUUCUACCUCUAGUUUAUCUAGUUCUAGUUCUAGUUCAUCUAGUUCUAGUUCUAGUUCUAGUUCCUCUAGUUAUAGUUCUAGUUAGUUAUAGUUGUAAUAAACAAAAUAGGAAGAGAGAAGAGGAGAGCGGAGGAGGAGGAGCCGGAUCUGUCAGAUCUUCCUCCACAUUGUACUUUUGCAGCAAUUGGUUCGUUCUUCAUCAUUCUCUAGGUUCUUCAAUUCAUAAUUCCUGAGUUCUUUAAUUACUUUUAUUUACAUUCAAGUUAUCUAUUAGAUUCCCGCUUGC